rnacentral:lncRNA from 1 species
AUGGAAAGAAAAAAAUUUUCAAAAGGGUGUCCACAGCGGCAAAAAAGCCCAGACUCUACCGACCUUCAAACGACAACAGCGUUUUCUGGAGGGUGCUUGGAGACCACGACUCACCAGGACCUCACCAGAAACCCAAACAUCCCUGCCACAUUGCCUCUCCUUCAGCCAGAAAGGACCCAAGUUCACCACCAAGAGACCCCCUUCCUGGUACUGGGCACUCCCAGAGGCUUGCCACCCCACACGUGGCAACCCCUCCUUCCCCACACAUGCACACUCCUAGCCUUCAGAAGGCCUUUUGUGACCAACCUAGUCACCAGUUUUCUCUCUCUAACUCCUGUGGACCUGGCAAAUGCCAGUUGUCUUCACUACAUUGGUAGGUAGUCACCCCAACAUCCCUAGUAUCCCCCAACUUCAUUAAGGGCAGUUGCCUCUCCCUUUGGAAGUGUUGAAUAUGAAACUAGAUGAAAACGAAGACUUGCCUGCCUGUCCGAGUUGUGAGCUGAAUAGCACUUUCUGUUUCUGCCUGUGAAACCAAAGUUAUGGCAAUUUCGUAAUUUUGGAGAUGUGGUGGGGGAGGGCUGGCAUAGGCAUCACCCUGUGCAUAGACUUCGGCAUCAUUCCCUCUGUGACUCAUGAAUUGGCACUAAUGCUCCCUGUCUUUUACUAUUUACUGGCCCCUCCAUGAGGAGCUACUGCCCAUUUACAGGGGUCUCCACCCAGAAAGAAGACCCCCUUAAUUUUGAGCAGAUCUCUGAGGGAAUAUCAGAUUCUUUCCAUCCCUUGUUGACGUGCUGGUGGGCAAGCUUGUCUUGCUUAUGUAACUCUGGGUUUGAUGCUCCACUCCAUUGCUGCUGGUUCUUUUUUAAAUCCCGAAGGGGGGGAAAGCCCUAACCAAACACAACAGUAAACAAGUCUGCCCUGCUUAAUGUGGUUACCACCAGACAUCUGGAAAGAUGGUUUGAUCCUGGCAGCUCACAUUGUUUUCACGAGCAGCCAAAGAGAAUAUUUUGAAUGUUUGCAUUGAGACAAAUUGAUAGAGAGCCUGCGGUGAGGCUGCUAUAAAUGAAAACUGUCUUGUGUUGGGAAGAAGGCGUUCCCUGCCCUCUCUUCUCUCUCUACUCCUCUCUCCUCACUUUCUUCUUCCCUCUCCCCUCUUUCUGUCUCCCCCUCUCCCUUGUCUACUAGCCUAGCUUGGGAAUGGUUGCCCCUGCCCACACACUUGUGCACACCCUCUUUCCUGGCUCACUAAGGACUGCCUGGCUUCACUCUUUCCCAGACUGGGCAGGGCUGGGGACCAGAAUCUGGUAUGGGUACCACUGUGCCCAUUCCACCAGCCCAUUCCUGGCUUUCAAGUCAGUGGACUCUCACAGCCAAGGACACU